rnacentral:ncRNA from 1 species
UUAUUGGAGAGUUUGAUCCUGGCUCAGGACGAACGCUGGCGGCGUGCCUAAUACAUGCAAGUCGAGCGGACUUGAGGGAGCUUGCUCCCGAUGGUCAGCGGCGGACGGGUGAGUAACACGUGGGCAACCUGCCUGUAAGACUGGGAUAACUCCGGGAAACCGGGGCUAAUACCGGAUAAUUCAUUCCCUCACAUGAGGGAAUGCUGAAAGACGGCUUUUGCUGUCACUUACAGAUGGGCCCGCGGCGCAUUAGCUAGUUGGUGAGGUAACGGCUCACCAAGGCCACGAUGCGUAGCCGACCUGAGAGGGUGAUCGGCCACACUGGGACUGAGACACGGCCCAGACUCCUACGGGAGGCAGCAGUAGGGAAUCUUCCGCAAUGGACGAAAGUCUGACGGAGCAACGCCGCGUGAGCGAAGAAGGCCUUCGGGUCGUAAAGCUCUGUUGUCAGGGAAGAACAAGUACCGGAGUAACUGCCGGUACCUUGACGGUACCUGACCAGAAAGCCACGGCUAACUACGUGCCAGCAGCCGCGGUAAUACGUAGGU